GCCUAUGAUUAUAUCACCACGAACUCGACCGAUCUCAUCAAGUAUCCCAAGCUAAGCAGGGUUAGGGCCAGUGAAUAGUGUACUCGGACGGGAGGCUGCCUGGGAAUGAGCAGGUGCUUGAGGCA
rnacentral:rRNA from 1 species